rnacentral:rRNA from 1 species
CCUACGGGAGGCAGCAGUAGGGAAUAUUGCACAAUGGGGGGAACCCUGAUGCAGCGACGCCGCGUGAGUGAAGAAGUAUUUCGGUGUGUAAAGCUCUAUCGGCAGGGAAGAAAAUGACGGUACCUGACUAAGAAGCACCGGCUAACUCCGUGCCAGCAGCCGCGGUAAUACGUAGGGGGCAAGCGUUAUCCGGAUUUACUGGGUGUAAAGGGGGCGCAGACGGGGAUGUAAGCCAGGAGUGAAAGCCCGGGGCCCAACCCCGGGACUGCACUUGAAACUGCGUGGCUGGAGUGCAGGAGGGGCAGGUGGAAUUCCUGGUGUAGCGGUGAAAUGCGUAGAUAUCAGGAGGAAUACUGGUGGCGAAGGCGGCCUGCUGGACUGCAACUGACGCUGAGGCCCGAAAGCGUGGGGAGCAAACAGGAUUAGAUACCCGUGUAGUC